AGGGCACCUGAUCAUUCAUUCCGCGUGAGUGAAGAAGGCCUCGGGUUGUAAAGCUCUUUCGCAAGGGAAGAAACGAUACAGUCUAAUAAACUGUGUUAAUGACGGUACCUUGAUAAGAAGCACCGGCUAACUACGUGCCAGCAGCCGCGGUAAUACGUAGGGUGCGAGCGUUAAUCGGAAUUACUGGGCGUAAAGCGUGCGCAGGCGGUUUUGAAAGUCAGAUGUGAAAUCCCCGGGCUCAACCUGGGAACUGCGUUUGAAACUCCAAAGCUAGAGUAUGGGAGAGGGGGGUAGAAUUCCACGUGUAGCAGUGAAAUGCGUAGAGAUGUGGAGGAAUACCAAUGGCGAAGGCAGCCCCCUGGCUUAAUACUGACGCUCAUGCACGAAAGCGUGGGGAGCAAACAGGAUUAGAUACCCUGGUAGUCCACGCCCUAAACGAUGUCUACUAGUUGUUGGGAGAGUAAAAUCUCUUAGUAACGCAGCUAACGCGUGAAGUAGACCGCCUGGGGAGUACGGUCGCAAGAUUAAACUCAAAGGAAUUGACGGGGGCCCGCACAAGCGGUGGAUCAUGUGGA
rnacentral:rRNA from 1 species